rnacentral:tRNA from 1 species
GAGGGUAUAGCUCAGUGGUAGAGUUUGUACCUAGCAACAAGGUCCUGGGUUCAAUCCCCAGUACCUCCA